rnacentral:rRNA from 1 species
GACGAACGCUGGCGGCGUGCCUAAUACAUGCAAGUCGAGCGGACGAAUCGAAAGCUUGCUUUUGAUUCGUUAGCGGCGGACGGGUGAGUAACACGUGGGCAACCUGCCCUGCAGACGGGGAUAACACCGAGAAAUCGGUGCUAAUACCGGAUAACACGAAAUGUCGCAUGACGUUUCGUUGAAAGACGGCGCAAGCUGUCGCUACAGGAUGGGCCCGCGGCGCAUUAGCUAGUUGGUGAGGUAACGGCUCACCAAGGCGACGAUGCGUAGCCGACCUGAGAGGGUGAUCGGCCACACUGGGACUGAGACACGGCCCAGACUCCUACGGGAGGCAGCAGUAGGGAAUCUUCCGCAAUGGACGAAAGUCUGACGGAGCAACGCCGCGUGAGCGAAGAAGGCCUUCGGGUCGUAAAGCUCUGUUGUUAGGGAAGAACAAGUAACGCAGUAACUGGCGUUACCGUGACGGUACCGAACGAGAAAGCCACGGCUAACUACGU